UACGAAGGGGGCUAGCGUUGCUCGGAAUUACUGGGCGUAAAGCGCACGUAGGCGGUCUUUUAAGUCGGGGGUGAAAUCCUGGAGCUCAACUCCAGAACUGCCUUCGAUACUGAGAGUCUUGAGUCCGGGAGAGGUGAGUGGAACUGCGAGUGUAGAGGUGAAAAUUCGUAGAUAUUCGCAAGAACACCAGUGGCGAAGGCGGCUCACUGGCCCGGUACUGACGCUGAGGUGCGGAAAGCGUG
rnacentral:rRNA from 1 species